CAUCAACUGUGUCAUCCUCUGACAUAUGAUGUGGUUAGCUGAUACUUAAAAUACCUAUCAAGGCGAUGUAAGAUCUGGCAGACUUCAGCAACAUCUAAGCUUUGGAAAGUGGCUGAAGUCUGUUUGGACGCAAUCACAAUUGCUGGCAAAACGGCUGACCUGAUUGGUGAAAAGACCAAUUAGUGGGAACAAGAUCAGAAUUUGGCAGCUACAGACGACUGAACAUGUAUGAAAUGUAAUAUGCGUUCAUCAAUUGUCUGUUUUUUUGUAAGUUGUUGAACUGAAUUUGGUCUCUUUCUUUUGUCGUCCAAUUCUCCCUCUGUUGUUCACCAUACGGCAACAGAUGACUGCACCUAAUCGCAUUUGGGAAAUUGAACCAAUGGAAAUGAAGUUCAUUGGCUGACAGCUGUACAUAAUUAGCCAGCCAGGGUAGAAGGGUCUGGGAUUCCUUUAUGAGGUGCAACCAAAACAGCUGUUAGAAAUAGCAUCCGGGAUAUUCUGGCAGGCUGUCGAGAAUUAGUUCUUGAAUACUGUUGUGGUUUUGAUCACUAAAAUGCCUGUGACUUUUGGACUCUCUUUGAGUGUUUCUUGGAUUUGUUGCCUGCUAAUUGGAGGGAUAACUUGUUUUACACUUAAAGGUAAUGCUCAUGGGCAUCCUGCCUGCGCCUCAGCAGAAGCUUCAGGCCCCGGCGCCUCAGCAGAAGCUUCAGGCCCCGGCGCCUCAGCAGAAGCUUCAGGCCCCGGCGCCUCAGCAGAAGCUUCAGGCCCCGGCGCCUCAGCAGAAGCUUCAGGCCCCGGCGCCUCAGCAGAAGCUUCAGGCCCCUCAGCAGAAGCUUCAGGCCCCUCAGCAGAAGCUUCAGGCCCCUCAGCAGAAGCUUCAGGCGCCUCAGCAGAAGCUUCAGGCGCCUCAGCUGAAGCUUCAGGCGCCUCAGCAGAAGCUUCAGGCGCCUCAGCAGAAGCUUCAGGCGCCUCAGCAGAAGCUUCAGGCGCCUCAGCAGAAGCUUCAGGCGCCUCAGCAGAAGCUUCAGGCGCCUCAGCAGAAGCUUCAGGCGCCUCAGCAGAAGCUUCAGGCGCCUCAGCAGAAGCUUCAGGCGCCUCAGCAGAAGCGUCCGGCGCCUCAGCAGAAGCGUCCGGCGCCUCAGCAGAAGCUUCAGGCGCCUCAGCAGAAGCGUCUGGCGCCUCAGCAGAAGCGUCCGGCGUCCGGCGCCUCAGCAGAAGCGUCCGGCGUCCGGCGCCUCAGCAGAAGCGUCCGGCCCCGGCGCCUCAGCAGAAGCGUCCGGCGCCUCAGCAGAAGCGUCCGGCGCCUCAGCAGAAGCGUCCGGCCCCGGCGCCUCAGCAGAAGCGUCCGGCCCCGGCCACUCAGCAGAAGCUUCAGGCCACUCAGCAGAAGCGUCCGGCCCCGGCGCCUCAGCAGAAGCGACAAGCCUUGAACAGACGGCCAUACCACUCAACUAGGGAGAUCAUAAUUUGGUUUGGCCAACUCCUUAAUCGUCUUAUCCCUGUUACCCUUUUCUGCUAGAGGCACAGUAAAGGUAACUGAGGUGGGGAAAUGUGCGAACUAAUGCGCUUGUUUGAAAUGAGGAUCUCCUUCACUUGUACAUCGUCAUGCAAAUUGUAUACAGAGGUGGAUGAUACAAUGUUAUGAAUCGUUUUUAUAAACAUACGACUAAAUUGACUUCUGAUGUAGCGAUAUUGCAGACACACUUUUAGGUUCUACGGUUAUGCUUUUGAUUUAGCCUGGUGUUCCUGCUACUCUUGCAUGAUUUGCUCAAUAAACCAUUUGACUUUCAAAAAACCUUGUCCUUAAAAUAUAAUCUCUUCUGCCUACCAUGUGCUUGCUGUUUGGUAACAGACUGUGGGCCUGGAGUAAAAGGGAAUUUGCGUUUUUGUUAUACACUUGUCUAAACAGAUUUGUUUCUGGUAGUUUGUUCUAAAGUUUUCUAACUUGUCAGAGCUCCCUCAUAUGUUCAUACACUACCUGUCCCUUAGUGUAGGCUGUUUGCUUUACAGUAAUCUGCCUUUUUCCACCAAUGCCUAAAGAAUGUGAAUGCAGUGUAACUCAUCGUCCCAUUACCUGUCACUAACCUGUCCCAGGGACGCUGAAGUUUCUCCUUGACCUUAUUCAGAAACAUUAAAUCAACUUGAUACAUUCUGACUGUUCUACAAUGUUGGUCUGGCCAGACACAUGGAUGCAAUCAUAUGCGUUCAUUUAUUUCAGCUGUGAAAAGUACUCCACUUGAAGUCGUUCAGACAUUCCUUAUGUCAACUCUCAAUGUGGUCUUCUGCACAAUCCAUUUCUAC
rnacentral:lncRNA from 1 species